AUGGACAGAGAUCAGGCGCGCGUCUCUCUGCUUGUAGUUGGAGUGCUGCUCACCGGCACUGUGAUUGCAGUGCUCGCAGCCAGUCCAGCCGCCGGCGACACCAGUGCUGAGCCUGGGCUAGCCGGCAGCAUGGGCACCGCCUACAGAGUCGACGCGGCUACGGCGCCGCAGAAGCUCACACCGGUGGUGCACCGUCGCGUGCUCGCCAGCCUCGGCAACUCGGUCUUCGACCCUAACAGGCCGGCAUGCACCGGGCAGUGCGGGGGCGCGGGGCAGCCGUACACCGGCCGGGGAUGCGUGCGUGCGUACCAGUGCCGCGGCUAG
rnacentral:rRNA from 1 species